UGAGGAAUAUUGGUCAAUGGACGCAAGUCUGAACCAGCCAUGCCGCGUGAAGGAUGAAGGCCUUCUGGGUUGUAAACUUCUUUUACCUGGGAAGAAAACUACGAUUUCUAUCGUAGCCGACGGUACCAGAGGAAUAAGCACCGGCUAACUCCGUGCCAGCAGCCGCGGUAAUACGGAGGGUGCAAGCGUUAUCCGGAUUUACUGGGUUUAAAGGGUGUGUAGGCGGGCUUUUAAGUCAGUGGUGAAAUCU
rnacentral:rRNA from 1 species